rnacentral:rRNA from 1 species
GAUGAACGCUGGCGGCGUGCCUAAUACAUGCAAGUCGAGCGAACGGACGAGAAGCUUGCUUCUCUGAUGUUAGCGGCGGACGGGUGAGUAACACGUGGAUAACCUACCUAUAAGACUGGGAUAACUUCGGGAAACCGGAGCUAAUACCGGAUAAUAUUUUGAACCGCAUGGUUCAAAAGUGAAAGACGGUCUUGCUGUCACUUAUAGAUGGAUCCGCGCUGCAUUAGCUAGUUGGUAAGGUAACGGCUUACCAAGGCAACGAUGCAUAGCCGACCUGAGAGGGUGAUCGGCCACACUGGAACUGAGACACGGUCCAGACUCCUACGGGAGGCAGCAGUAGGGAAUCUUCCGCAAUGGGCGAAAGCCUGACGGAGCAACGCCGCGUGAGUGAUGAAGGUCUUCGGAUCGUAAAACUCUGUUAUUAGGGAAGAACAUAUGUGUAAGUAACUGUGCACAUCUUGACGGUACCUAAUCAGAAAGCCACGGCUAACUACGUGCCAGCAGCCGCGGUAAUACGUAGGUGGCAAGCGUUAUCCGGAAUUAUUGGGCGUAAAGCGCGCGUAGGCGGUUUUUUAAGUCUGAUGUGAAAGCCCACGGCUCAACCGUGGAGGGUCAUUGGAAACUGGAAAACUUGAGUGCAGAAGAGGAAAGUGGAAUUCCAUGUGUAGCGGUGAAAUGCGCAGAGAUAUGGAGGAACACCAGUGGCGAAGGCGACUUUCUGGUCUGUAACUGACGCUGAUGUGCGAAAGCGUGGGGAUCAAACAGGAUUAGAUACCCUGGUAGUCCACGCCGUAAACGAUGAGUGCUAAGUGUUAGGGGGUUUCCGCCCCUUAGUGCUGCAGCUAACGCAUUAAGCACUCCGCCUGGGGAGUACGACCGCAAGGUUGAAACUCAAAGGAAUUGACGGGGACCCGCACAAGCGGUGGAGCAUGUGGUUUAAUUCGAAGCAACGCGAAGAACCUUACCAAAUCUUGACAUCCUUUGACAACUCUAGAGAUAGAGCUUUCCCCUUCGGGGGACAAAGUGACAGGUGGUGCAUGGUUGUCGUCAGCUCGUGUCGUGAGAUGUUGGGUUAAGUCCCGCAACGAGCGCAACCCUUAAGCUUAGUUGCCAUCAUUAAGUUGGGCACUCUAAGUUGACUGCCGGUGACAAACCGGAGGAAGGUGGGGAUGACGUCAAAUCAUCAUGCCCCUUAUGAUUUGGGCUACACACGUGCUACAAUGGACAAUACAAAGGGCAGCGAAACCGUGAGGUCAAGCAAAUCCCAUAAAGCUGUUCUCAGUUCGGAUUGUAGUCUGCAACUCGACUACAUGAAGCUGGAAUCGCUAGUAAUCGUAGAUCAGCAUGCUACGGUGAAUACGCUCCCGGGUCU